rnacentral:lncRNA from 1 species
AGUUUAGAAAGUUGAAUGAUCUGUUUUUAAUGAUUGCUUGAUUAACACAAACCAAAGGAAUUCGAUGUUUGAACAAUGAGAGUAAAUGAGUUUUUGUCUUGACAAAGAACUUGCUUAGAAUUGUUAUUUAGACUUAGGGAAAUGUGUUGAUUGAAACUUUACCAUUUUAGAUUAAAUCUUAGUCAUCUGAAAUCAAAUUCAUAUACCCAUGACUCCUCUUUUAUCCAUUUGCUUGAAAGUUGCUAGUAAAUUGUGUUAGAGUCUUGUUAGCUUAAUAAAAUCACUUCAUUAUAUUGAAUGCAUUUAGCUUAAGUAUGAACCUGAAUUCUCUUUGAAUUGAAACACUUAGAAAUGAAUUGACAUCUAAAAUAAUACUUUGAUUUGAACCUUGGACCCUUGAAAAAUCUAUUUCAAUUAUUAGAAGAAAAAUCUGUGUGGACUCAUUUAUAUAAUAGGGGUUUUACUUGCAACUACUGAGUUUGGAUUUCUCACGGAGAGAAUUAUAAUAUUCUAAACAAUCCUG